rnacentral:lncRNA from 1 species
ACAAUGGGGGCCCAAGGUGGGAUGAAGCUGUAAUCUCACUGGAAGGACUAGAGGUUAGAGGAGACCCCCCCGAAAUAAAAAACAGCAUAUUGACGCUGGGAA